UACGUAGGGUGCGAGCGUUAAUCGGAAUUACUGGGCGUAAAGCGUGCGUAGACGGUUGCGUAAGUCAGAUGUGAAAGCCCCCGGGCUCAACCUGGGAAUUGCAUUUGAGACUGCGUAGCUAGGGUGCGGAAGAGGGAAGCGGAAUUUCCGGUGUAGCGGUGAAAUGCGUAGAUAUCGGAAGGAACACCAGUGGCGAAAGCGGCUUCCUGGUCCAGCACCGACGUUCAGGCACGAAAGCGUGGGGAGCAAACAGG
rnacentral:rRNA from 1 species